rnacentral:sRNA from 1 species
UUACAAUGAUACAAACAAUACUGACGUG